AUUGAACGCUGGCGGCAGGCCUAACACAUGCAAGUCGAGCGGAUGAAGGGAGCUUGCUCCUGGAUUCAGCGGCGGACGGGUGAGUCAUGCCUAGGAAUCUGCCUGGUCGUGGGUGAUAACGUCCGGAAACGGGCGCUAAUACCGCAUACGUCCUGAGGGAGAAAGUGGGGGAUCUUCGGACCUCACGCUAUCAGAUGAGCCUAGGUCGGAUUAGCUAGUUGGUGGGGUAAAGGCCUACCAAGGCGACGAUCCGUAACUGGUCUGAGAGGAUGAUCAGUCGCACUGGAACUGAGACACGGGCCAGACUCCUACGGGAGGCAGCAGUGGGGAAUAUUGGACAAUGGGCGAAAGCCUGAUCCAGCCAUGCCGCGUGUGUGAAGAAGGUCUUCGGAUUGUAAAGCACUUUAAGUUGGGAGGAAGGGCAGUAAGUUAAUACCUUGCUGUUUUGACGUUACCAACAGAAUAAGCACCGGCUAACUUCGUG
rnacentral:rRNA from 1 species